AGUGAACGCUGGCGGCAGGCCUAACACAUGCAAGUCGAACGGCAGCACAAGAGAGCUUGCUCUCUGGGUGGCGAGUGGCGGACGGGUGAGGAAUGCAUCGGAAUCUGCCCAUUUGUGGGGGAUAACCUCGGGAAACCGGGACUAAUACCGCAUACGACCUACGGGUGAAAGCAGGGGAUCUUCGGACCUUGCGCAGAUGGAUGAGCCGAUGCCGGAUUAGCUAGUUGGAGGGGUAAAGGCCCACCAAGGCGACGAUCCGUAGCUGGUCUGAGAGGAUGAUCAGCCACACUGGGACUGAGACACGGCCCAGACUCCUACGGGAGGCAGCAGUGGGGAAUAUUGGACAAUGGGCGCAAGCCUGAUCCAGCCAUGCCGCGUGUGUGAAGAAGUCCUUCGGGUUGUAAAGCACGUUUGUUGGGAAAGAAAAGCGGCCGGUUAAUACCCGGUUGUCAUGACGGUACCCAAAGAAUAAGCACCGGCUAACUUCGUG
rnacentral:rRNA from 1 species